UGGGAAAUCAGGACUGUUACUUUGAAAAAAUUAGAGUGUUUAAAGCAAGCACACGCUUGAAUACAUUAGCAUGGAAUAAUGAAAUAGGACGUUUGACCCUAUUUUGUUGGUUUCUAGGAUCGACGUAAUGAUUAAUAGGGAUAGUUGGGGGCAUUAGUAUUCAAUUGUCAGAGGUGAAAUUCUUGGAUUUAUUGAAGACUGACUACGGCGAAAGCAUUUGCCAAGGAUGUUUUCAUUAAUCAAGAACGAAAGUUAGGGGAUCGAAUACGAUCAGAUACCGUCGUAGUCUUAACCAUAAACUAUGCCGACUAGGGAUCGAGAUGAUGUUAAUUUUUUAAUGACUCA
rnacentral:rRNA from 1 species